CCGCAUUCAUCAAGUUCUUGGCGGCCUGGAUCAGGGACAUGGCACUGUCCACCUGAGAGGCACAGACAGGGUGGUCCACUUCUUCUCAUUUGGAGCAGAAGUUUAUAGCAGUCUGAAUUUCCGACCCACUUUCAAGAACAAGUUUUUGUGUGGAGAAAACACACUGCAAGGGACAGAAACCUAACAUGGAAGCUUCCAGAUCACAUCUGUACAGGAACAGAAGCUGCUUAAUUUUUGGUAAGUUCAUCCUCUGCCUGCUGCCGUGGGGAGAGGACAUACGAGAAGGGAAUGAUGCAUGGAGCCCUCUCCCUGGUGGGCCCUGCCCAUGGCUUCUACAUUUAGCUAUGUGACAUGGCACUGAAACUGGAGGCCUGGUGCCCACCUCAAGGCCCACGGACACCAAGCCUAGAGCUGCUCCCCACUCAGCUUCCCCAAGUGCUCACGAUGGAGUGGGGCCCAAAAGCAAGGAUGCAUUUGUUGUUCAAAAUGAUUUCUACAGAGUGCAGAAAGACUCCACAGAAAUAUUUCUUGGCAUGCUCCCAAAAA